UCGAGGCAGGGAAAAAUGAAAUUACCGAGGAGAGGAUCAACGAAUGUCACCGAGCAGUGACUAAGUUUGUGGUGAAAGAAUCGAUAAAAGAAUCGAUAAGGAAUCGAAUCGAUAAGCAGGAAUCGAUAAGGCAUCGGAAUCGUUAAAAUCUUAUCAAUUCUCAUCCCUAAUGACCAAUGACCCUUCAUGAUGAGCAGUACUGGACAAUAUUAACCAACAAUACUACAGUCACUGUGGAAAAUCAAGCUUUGGUCAAACCUGAUGAAGUGACAGCUGGAAAAGAUCAUGUCCACACAGACUCCUUCCUACGUGAGUAUGUGAUCGCAGCCCUGCUAACGAUUGGUGUCAUCCUCAUUGUUGGGAUCGAGCUCUACAGAAAGAAGACCUCUGUAUCUAAAGGACAGGGGCAGAGGAACAUGGCUCUGAUGUACACGGUGAGUUUCUUAACAACUUGCGUAUGCUCUUAUGAUAUGUAUCACUAAGUGUACUCUUGUCUUGGUUGUAAACACCUCUCUCCUGUGUGGGGUUGUCUGUGUAAAGUCCUUUUUUAAACACCUCUUUCCUGUGUGGGGUUGUCUGUGUAAAGUCCUGGUUGUGUACACAUCUCUUCUGUGUGGUGUUUUGUCUUUAGAUGUCAUCAGUGCUGAAGCUCAGAGAGAGGAUGAGUUCUAGCCAACACAGAAGCCAUCAGGACUCGUCAUUCCCACAAACUCACAUUCAGUGUUUGGUGUCUUUAUUUCACUCUUUUUCAGUCCUGUCAACACAGAAGCUUGAGGCCAUAAGGACUCAACAUUCCCAUCAGUCCACUUUGCAGUAUUUGGUUUGAAUCGAUUAGGUUGAUGUGUGUAUCAUAAAGUUAAAAGAUAUGCUGUGAAAUAAUUAGGUAGACUGUAAUGUUGAUGCUGUGGAGAUUUAGUGUAUUCCUCCAUUUUAGGUUUGUAUCUACCUUGUUAUGUGAAUGUUUAUUCCAGGUUUAUAUAGUUUCAUGGUUUAAUUGUUUUUAGGGUUCAGUGUUC
ensembl:lncRNA